rnacentral:rRNA from 1 species
UACGGGAGGCAGCAGUGGGGAAUAUUGCACAAUGGGCGCAAGCCUGAUGCAGCCAUGCCGCGUGUAUGAAAAAGGCCUUCGGGUUGUAAAGUACUUUCAGUCGUGAGGAAGGUGUUAAGGUUAAUAACCUUAGCAAUUGACGUUAGCGACAGAAGAAGCACCGGCUAACUCCGUGCCAGCAGCCGCGGUAAUACGGAGGGUGCGAGCGUUAAUCGGAAUUACUGGGCGUAAAGGGCACGCAGGCGGUUAAUUAAGUUGGAUGUGAAAUCCCCGGGCUUAACCUGGGAAUGGCAUUCAAGACUGGUUAGCUAGAGUCUUGUAGAGGGAGGUAGAAUUCCAUGUGUAGCGGUGAAAUGCGUAGAGAUGUGGAGGAAUACCGGUGGCGAAGGCGGCCCCUGGGACAAAGACUGACGCUCAUGUGCGAAAGCGUGGGAAGCAAACAGGAUUAGAUACC